ensembl:snoRNA
UUAGGAUCAAAGAUGCAGCUGCUUUCCCAUUUAAGCAGCAGUCAAGAGAGUGCCCAAAGUGACAGUUUUCCUGUACGGCUAUAGCCUCUUCUGUUAUCUGUAACUAAUCUACAACAUUUUGGGAAAAGAUAGCU